AGCGAACGUUAGCGGCGGGCUUAACACAUGCAAGUCGAGCGAGAAAGUGGCUUCGGCCAUCAGUAAAGCGGCGGACGGGUGAGUAACACGUAGGUAAUCUUCCCUUGAGCGGGGGACAACGAGCCGAAAGGCUCGCUAAUACCGCAUAAGUUUCCUGGGACCCCGGUCCUGGGAAGGAAAGCUAGGUAGCAAUAUCCGGCACUCGAGGAGGAGCCUGCGUCGCAUCAGCUAGUUGGGGGGGUAACGGCCUACCAAGGCGAAGACGCGUAGCUGGUCUGAGAGGAGGAUCAGCCACACUGGGACUGAGACACGGCGCAGACUCCUACGGGAGGCAGCAGUGGGGAAUAUUGGACAAUGGGCGCAAGCCUGAUCCAGCCACGCCGCGUGAGUGAUGAAGGCCUUCGGGUCGUAAAGCUCUGUGGGGAGGGACGAACCGCCAUCGGUUAAUACCCGGUGGCAUGACGGUACCUCCUUAGCAAGCACCGGCUAACUUCGUGCCAGCCGCCGCCGUAAUAC
rnacentral:rRNA from 1 species